AGGAUGACAUCGGGUCAGGUCAAUCAUAGGGUUAAGGAGGAGCUACCCGUUUCAAUCUUUCAGAAGCAUUUCAAAUUUCAAUUCAAAUUCACUGAAACGAUGGAGGCCCCGCCACUGAAGCUCGUAAUGCUCCAAGGCCCUCGCGAGGGCGAAACCUUAGAAUUCCGACACGGUUCCACCGUCCGAAUAGGCCGUCUCGUCCGGGGCAACGCCGUCCCCAUCAAGGACGUCGGCAUUUCCUCCAAGCACCUCUCCAUUGAGUCAUCCUCUUCUGGGUCAGGUAAAUGGAUCCUUCGCGAUCUUCACUCCUCCAACGGCACCCUCCUCAACGGCACCAAGCUCCUCCCAGACACUCCCUAUGAUCUCAGCGAUGCCGACUCCAUCAAGAUCGGCGAGUACACCUCCAUCUUAGUCAAGAUUGACGGCGACGAUGAGAGCCAACUGAGGCGGAACCCCAGGCGCCGGGCCGCACAGAAAGACCAGGCGGAACCGGUGGCAGAGAAUCGGGGCCCGAAGGUAAAGGCUUCUAUAGAGAGCGAAGCUAAAUAUGACGAGAAAGGUGAGGACUUGGAGACUGGUAAUAGAAGGAAGGGUCGGCCGAGGAAAGCUAGGGUUAUGAAGAGCGAAGACGUUGCUCAGGAACUUCGUUCUAAGGAGCCUGAGAAUGUGGGACCCGUGGAAGAGAAACCGUUACGGCAAACAAGUACAAGGCGCACACGGAGUGCAAAGAUCAAGGAAUCUGGGCCUUUGGAACCGGUUCUCGAGAAGAUCCCAGAGACCUUGAGUGGAGAAGUGGAGGUUAAGGGUAAGAAGAACCGAGUCGGGGCGAGAAGAAGGAAGAAUUUAUGCGAAGAGUCAUUGAAUUUCGUUCGAGUUGAUGCUUCGGAGGAUAAGGGAAACGAGGAGGAGACAAAUUUCGAAGAAAACAUUAUAACCGAUGUUGACAAAGGUGCUCCGAGUCGAGUGGAUGCUUCAGAUAAUAAGGAGAAUGUGGAGGAAACGAAUUCCGAAGAAAAUGAUAGACUUGUUGUCGAUAAGGGCGCGGCGACUGGAGUUGAUGUUAAGGUGGAACGGGGGGCUGGUUCUGGUGUCAAAGAGGAGGAGGGGCUGGAUUUGGAGAAGAUGACGCUUGGGGACUGGUUCGAUUAUCUGGAGGUGCAUUUGCCAAAACAGAUAAUUGAUGCGACUGAGGAGAUGAUUGACGGUAUGAGACAGAAAGCUAAGCAAGUUCGUGAGUAUAUGGUGGAGCAGAGGACUGAGAGGGGUAAAGUGCCAGUGCGAUAGACCACUCCUCAGUUUAUGCGGUAAAUUGAUAGUUCAAUCGGCUUCAUCUUUUAAAUAUUCACUUCAGUGCUAGUUUGAUUAGAUGGUGCAUGAAAUUAAGGUAGCUUGAAACUCUCCCAAGUGCUAAUUUGUAGUGAUAGGCUGAGAUUGCUAUUUUACUUGUUUUUAGUUGUGAGCUUAUCUUUCUUGGCGGGACGGCUCUAAGGUUUCAUCCGUUUCAAUAAAAGAACUUGUCAGUCGUGUGUAUUAGAAAUAGAUUCCAUGAAGUAUCUUGUCUCCACAAUAUCGUGGUUUGGUUGUAUAAUUUGCAUGUGAUCUGUGAGUUCUGUUUCUUCUCUAGAACUCAUGAAUAUCAGGUGUCCUCUGUUUUGCGAUCUUGCAAAUUGAGGAAAGCAUGAGGUGGAAUUCCAAAUUGUAAAGGGGCACUGUUAUAUUAGUGUUUAAACAUGAACACAAUUCAUGUAUACUUUGUUUGGGAAUGGAUGGCUCUAACAGAUACGCGCCUGCCUGUACUGUUUAAUGUUUAUGUACCCCUUGAAUACAGGUUUAGUGAAAAAUAUGCGAACUCUCACUUUUUGACA